rnacentral:sRNA from 1 species
GCUGGGUGUGGUGGUGUACUCCUGUGAUCCCAGCGGCUCAGGAGGCUGAGCCAGGAGGAUUGCAAGUUCAAGGCCAGCCUCAGCAACUUAGCAAGGCCCUAAGCAACUUAGUGAAACCCUGUCUCAA